rnacentral:rRNA from 1 species
UACGUAGGGGGCGAGCGUUGUCCGGAAUUAUUGGGCGUAAAGCGCGCGCAGGCGGCUCUUUAAGUCAGGUGUGAAAGGCUGCGGCUCAACCGCAGAGCGGCACCUGAAACUGGGGAGCUUGAGUGCAGGAGAGGGGAGCGGAAUUCCCGGUGUAGCGGUGGAAUGCGUAGAGAUCGGGAGGAACACCAGUGGCGAAGGCGGCUCUCUGGCCUGUAACUGACGCUGAGGCGCGAAAGCGUGGGGAGCAAACAGG